CAGGGCUACACAGGGAAACCCUGUCUAUCCCCGGUUGUGUGGGCAGCUUUCAUGGCAUCACGUGUUGAAAGAUCUUUGUGUACGAUUAUGAGGCUGCAUUUGCCCAUGUGCGUGUUUAGACGUCAGAGGUCAAUGUUCAGCGUCUCCCUCCCCCAACCUUUUUUGAGACCUUUUUUGUCUCUCACUAGACCUACCAGGGUCCGGCCAGUUGGACUGGGUUGGCUGCUGGCCACCAGGCCUGUGCUGACCUCGCCCCAGCAUCCGAAGGAUGAAAACUCCGCUCCUGUGCACACGGCAAGCACAGAAGAGCCGAUUCCCUCUGUGCACAUCCUCCAUCUCUGCUGACAUCUUCUGCGCUCACUGCUACGCUGUGAUUCCUGGGGCUAGAGGGCAGAAGCAACAGAUGUUGUCCACCAGAGCCACCUGCAUGGGAAGCGCACCUGGCCCACCGUGACGAGGGCCCCGCGGCUGGACGCCAUGGUUGCUCCAGAGAAGAGCUUCUUCAGGCCUUCUGCAGGAGGAAGGGAGAGGAGACGUCACAGUCCCGCUGGCAGGCCACCCUAGCACUGCACGUGGUUUUCCGCAUUUACAAUAAAGUAACGGUCCUCUUA